UUAUUUGAGAGUUUGAUCCUGGCUCAGGAUGAACGCUGGCGGCGUGCCUAACACAUGCAAGUUGAGCGAUUUACUUCGGUAAAGAGCGGCGGACGGGUGAGUAACGCGUGGGUAACCUACCCUGUACACACGGAUAACAUACCGAAAGGUAUGCUAAUACGGGAUAAUAUAUUUGAGAGGCAUCUCUUGAAUAUCA
rnacentral:rRNA from 1 species